UCUUUAUAAAUAUUAUCCCACUUAUAUUAGAAUUUAAAUUAGGUGUGAAUAAAAUUUUAUUUGGUUGGGGUGACAUGAAGUAAAUUAACACUUCAAAAUAAAACUUGAAUUAAAGGAUUAAGGAUCCGGUGCCCGAUUAAAAAUAUAAGU
rnacentral:rRNA from 1 species